rnacentral:rRNA from 1 species
GGAUAACGCUGGCGGCGUGCUUACACUGCAGUCCAAACGAACCUUCGGGUUAGUGGCGGACGGGUGAGUAACGCGUGAGAAUCUGCCUCAGGAGGGGGACAACAGCUGGAAACGGCUGCUAAUACCCCAUAUGCCGAGAGGUGAAACGAAUUUCGCCUGAGGAUGAGCUCGCGUCUGAUUAGCUAGUUGGUGUGGUAAAGGCGCACCAAGGCAUCGAUCAGUAGCUGGUCUGAGAGGAUGAUCAGCCACACUGGGACUGAGACACGGCCCAGACUCCUACGGGAGGCAGCAGUGGGGAAUUUUCCGCAAUGGGCGAAAGCCUGACGGAGCAACGCCGCGUGAGGGAUGAAGGCCUCUGGGCUGUAAACCUCUUUUCUCAAGGAAGAAGAUCUGACGGUACUUGAGGAAUAAGCCACGGCUAAUUCCGUGCCAGCAGCCGCGGUAAUACGGGAGUGGCAAGCGUUAUCCGGAAUUAUUGGGCGUAAAGCGUCCGCAGGCGGCCCAUCAAGUCUGCUGUUAAAACAGUGGAGCUUAACUCCAUCAUGGCAGUGGAAACUGUCUGGGCUAGAGUGUAGGUAGGGGCAGAGGGAAUUCCCGGUGUAGCGGUGAAAUGCAGUAGAUAUCGGGAAGAACACCAAGUGGCAGAAGGCGCUCUGCUGGGGCAUAACUGACGCUCCAUGGACGAAAGCCACAGGGGACGCCGAAAAGGGGACUUAGAUACCCCUCGUAGUCCUUGGGACCGGUAAACACAUAGAACACACACAAAGGGUGCUCGGGGGGAAAUUAGAAACCACAUUG